UCAUCACCUGCCGCCUUGAACUCUGUCCAUGCUGUCUGUAAAGAUCGACUAAUCUCCAUUCAUCCGUCAGAGUGAAGGUUGCUAGCUGCCGUUUUGAGCUGUGCUGCUAAAGUGCAUGUUGAAGGUUAUGAAUGUGGUGUUGUAAGCUUUGCUCUACAAGUGUAUCUAAAAGGUUCCAAAUCCUAAAACACUUGAGACUUAAACACUCAAUUCUUGGCCUGAGACACUCAUAUCCAUGCAUUUACAGUCAUUGUCCUUGUACCUUCAAAACAUGGGGUGGUCUUAGGACUCAUCUAAGUCGUGCACAUAAUGCUAAGCCCUCUCGCACUGUAGAACAUGGUAUUUUGACUUGUCCUUCUUGUCCUGAAA